UGAUGAAGAAAACAAUCCUGAAGUCAGACAGUGUCAGGAUGGGUGUGCGACUAGGAGUGAGCUGAUUACUGAAAGAUUUACAUAGGCUGUAAGUAAACAACACAAUAAGCAACAAUUGAAUACACAUAUGUAUUUAUUUCAAUUACAGCAAAACAGCUGGGCAGUGCAUGAACAUAAAUGUAUUGGAAGAAAAUAAAAGGGUUGUAUUCAAAGCUUUGCUGUGUGCUACUGGUAAAUACAUCAAGACAGAUAACAAUUUAACUCUCUCUAUACACAAUAUGUAUUAAUCUCACUUAAUAUUUCACCUUAAAACACUAGUCAGAUAUAUCAGCUGGGGUGCUGGCACGGUUAGGAGGAUAACAUAAAGUUGAUGACUGGGGACAAAGUAUUUGGAGAUCUAUUUCCUUGAUUCAUUAAAAGAUGUUGCAAAAGUUCAAAUUUGGAUUUCUCCACGUCAAGCCUUUCUCUCUGUACAACCAAGUGCUCCUCUGAUAUGCUGAGCAUCCUCUUUUGCACAUCUAUCAGCUCCUUGAGGGCAUCUGCUUUGGCUGUCUCAACUUCAAUUAUUGAGGCAAUGUGCUUCGGUGGCUGCUGUUGACUCAUUGAUGAAGCCUCAUCACUGCCAGUGUUCCCACACAUAAAGAUAGGACCUGCAAGUUUGAUGAAAUUAGGUUACAUCAGUACACAUGAUCAGUCAAAGGUGAUGGUGCUGGACCGCCUCCUGUUUUGGACGAUUCUUUGCGGACAUCCAUGGCCUUUCUUUUUACCUGAGAUCAGUAAAUUAAUUAAUCAUGAAGAUGU